CUACGUGCCAGCAGCCGCGGUAAUACGGAAGGUUCGGGCGUUAUCCGGAUUUAUUGGGUUUAAAGGGAGCGUAGGCCGUGGAUUAAGYGUGUUGUGAAAUGUAGAUGCUCAACAUCUGACUUGCAGCGCGAACUGGUUUACUAGAGUGUGCGCAACGUAGGCGGAAUUCGUCGUGUAGCGGUGAAAUGCUUAGAUAUGACGAAAAACUCCGAUUGCGAAGGCAGCUUACGGGAGCACAACUGACGSUGAAGCUCGAAGGUGCGGGUAUCAAACAGGAUUAGAUACCCUGGUAGUCCGCACAGUAAACGAUGGAUGCCCGCUGUUGGUCCAUUAGGGUCAGCGGCCAAGCGAAAGCAUUAAGCAUCCCACCUGGGGAGUACGCCGGCAACGGUGAAACUCAAAGGAAUUGACGGGGGCCCGCACAAGCGGAGGAACAUGUGGUUUAAUUCGAUGAUACGCGAGGAACCUUACCCG
rnacentral:rRNA from 1 species